AUUGAACGCUGGCGGCAUGCUUUACACAUGCAAGUCGAACGGCAGCGCGGGCUUCGGCCUGGCGGCGAGUGGCGAACGGGUGAGUAAUGCAUCGGAACGUGCCCAUUAGUGGGGGAUAGCCCGGCGAAAGCCGGAUUAAUACCGCAUACGACCUGAGGGUGAAAGCGGGGGACCGAAAGGCCUCGCGCUAUUGGAGCGGCCGAUGUCGGAUUAGCUAGUUGGUGGGGUAAAGGCUUACCAAGGCGACGAUCCGUAGCUGGUCUGAGAGGACGACCAGCCACACUGGGACUGAGACACGGCCCAGACUCCUACGGGAGGCAGCAGUGGGGAAUUUUGGACAAUGGGGGCAACCCUGAUCCAGCCAUGCCGCGUGCGGGAAGAAGGCCUUCGGGUUGUAAACCGCUUUUGUUCGGGAAGAAAUCCUCUGGGCUAAUACCCCGGGGGGAUGACGGUACCGGAAGAAUAAGCAUCGGCUAACUACGUG
rnacentral:rRNA from 1 species